UCUUGCGCAAUGGGCGAAAGCCUGACGCAGCAAUUCCGCGUGGGGGACGAAGGCCCCCGGGUCGUAAACCCCUUUUACGAGGGAAGAAGUUCUGACGGUACCUCGUGAAUAAGCCACGGCUAACUACGUGCCAGCAGCCGCGGUAAUACGUAGGUGGCGAGCGUUGUCCGGAUUUAUUGGGCGUAAAGAGCCCGCAGGCGGCCUGUUAAGUUUCAGGUGAAAUCUCCCGGCUCAACUGGGAGGGGUCCUGGAAAACUGGCAGGCUUGAGGCAGGGAGAGGGAUGUGGAAUUCCCGGUGUAGUGGUGAAAUGCGUAGAUAUCGGGAGGAACACCAGUGGCGAAGGCGGCAUCCCGGCCCUUCCUGACGUCAGGGGCGA
rnacentral:rRNA from 1 species